UACGUAGGGAGCAAGCGUUGUCCGGAAUCAUUGGGCGUAAAGCGCGCGUAGGCGGCCCUGUAAGUCCGUUGUGAAAGUCAAAGGCUCAACCUUUGAAAGCCGAUGGAUACUGCAGGGCUGGAGUCCGGAAGAGGCGAGUGGAAUUCCUGGUGUAGCGGUGGAAUGCGCAGAUAUCAGGAGGAACACCGGUGGCGAAGGCGGCAUCCUGGACCGAUACUGACGCUGAGGAGCGAAAGCCAGGGGAGCAAACGGG
rnacentral:rRNA from 1 species